GAUGAACGCUGGCGGCGUGCCUAAUACAUGCAAGUCGAGCGAACUGAUUAGAAGCUUGCUUCUAUGACGUUAGCGGCGGACGGGUGAGUAACACGUGGGCAACCUGCCUGUAAGACUGGGAUAACUUCGGGAAACCGAAGCUAAUACCGGAUAGGAUCCUCUCCUUCAUGGGAGAUGAUUGAAAGAUGGUUUCGGCUAUCACUUACAGAUGGGCCCGCGGUGCAUUAGCUAGUUGGUGAGGUAACGGCUCACAAAGGCAACGAUGCAUAGCCGACCGGAGAGGUGGAUGGGCCAGACUGGGACGGAGACACGGCCAAGACUCCUACGGGAGGCAGCAGUAGGGAAUGUUCCGCAAUGGACGAAAGUCUGACGGGGCAACGCCGCGUGAGUGAUGAAGGCUUUCGGGUCGUAAAACUCUGUUGUUAGGGAAGAACAAGUACGAGAGUAACUGCUCGUACCUUGACGGUACCUAACCAGAAAGCCACGGCUAACUACGUGCCAGCCGCCGCCGUAACAC
rnacentral:rRNA from 1 species